rnacentral:rRNA from 1 species
UACGAAGGGGGGCUAGCGUUGCUCGGAAUCACUGGGCGUAAAGCGCACGUAGGCGGCUUACUAAGUCAGGGGUGAAAUCCUGGAGCUCAACUCCAGAACUGCCUUUGAUACUGGUGAGCUUGAGUCCGGAAGAGGUGAGUGGAACUGCGAGUGUAGAGGUGAAAUUCGUAGAUAUUCGCAAGAACACCAGUGGCGAAGGCGGCUCACUGGUCCGGUACUGGACGCUGAGGUGCGAAAGCGUGGGGAGCAAACAGGG